rnacentral:rRNA from 1 species
AAAAACAUCGCCUCCUGCAAAACCCCUUUAACGUAUAGGAGGUCUUACCUGCCCAGUGACAUUAAUGUUAAACGGCCGCGGUAUUUUGACCGUGCUAAGGUAGCGCAAUCACUUGUUUUUUAAAUGAAGACCUGUAUGAAUGGUGAAACGAGGGCUUAACUGUCUCCCCCUCCCAGUCAAUGAAACUGAUCUGUUCGUGCAGAAGCGAACAUAAACCUACAAGACGAGAAGACCCUUUGGAGCUUAAGACACAAGGCCAACUGUUCCUAACCCCCUAAGUUAAAUAGGAAAAAACGAAACAUCACCUGGCCAAAGUCUUCGGUUGGGGCGACCGCGGGGAAAAACAAAACCCCCACGUGGAAUAGACCACUCUCUUAACCCAAGAGAAAUACCUCUAAGUCACAGAACAUCUGACCAUACUGAUCCGGCUAAUAAGCCGAUUAACAAACCAAGUUACCCUAGGGAUAACAGCGCAAUCCCCUUCAAGAGUCCCUAUCGACAAGGGGGUUUACGACCUCGAUGUUGGAUCAGGACAUCCUAAUGGCGCAGCCACUAUUAAGGGUUCGUUUGUUCAACGAUUAAAGUCCUACGUGAUCUGG